rnacentral:rRNA from 1 species
UACAGAGGGUGCGAGCGUUGUCCGGAAUUAUUGGGCGUAAAGGGCUCGUAGGCGGUUUGUCGCGUCGGGAGUGAAAACCUUGGGCUUAACUCAGGGCUUGCUUUCGAUACGGGCAGACUAGAGGUAUGCAGGGGAGAACGGAAUUCCUGGUGUAGCGGUGAAAUGCGCAGAUAUCAGGAGGAACACCGGCGGCGAAGGCGGUUCUCUGGGCAUGAUCUGACGCUGAGGAGCGAAAGUGUGGGGAGCGAACAGG